GAUCAUUGGGUAUAUGUAUGUAGAACCGAAUUCGAGUUGAACUAUGUGCCUGGGAAAAUUCUUUUGUACGAACUAUGGACUAGAAACUUAGUAACAAAAAUAAAUACAGCAACCCAACCAUAAAGACUGAAAUUAAUGGAGCCAAAACACUACCCUAUGAAGGAAUCAAAUGAGAUAGAAACAAGGGAUCAGGAACCAACGAUCUUAAAGAUGAAAGGACUAACCUGAAGGUAACCUUAGGCAAGGACAGAAAGGAAAAGCUGCUUAUCACACAACAAAUCAAAAGCUUAACCUAUUAGGUAGACCCAUGUAUCACCUUGUGUAGCCGAUGUGGGACUUUGAUUACACUUUCCGAACGAACAGGGCAAAAACAGGCAAUCAUAUCAGAGCCCCGUGCCAUUAUCAGCAAAUGUAGAGGAGUCUUGGAAUACAAAGACAAAAAAGAACCACAGUGCUUGCCACCAUGACACACUACCAGACAGAUAACCAUCAAUAAAAACAUAACAAACAAACCAAAAUGAAUACUGAUGCAAGGGGACUCCAGCAAUGGAAAACAAAAAAAAAAUAAUAAUAAAGAAGGCAAAUAAUAAGAAAUCCUGUUUGCAAGAUUUGAUUCUUAAUAAUGAAAACAAAUCUGUGCAAGAUUCACUAAUACAAUAAGACACCAAUUACAGAGGAAGAAAGUAAUAAUCGAGUUUUUGAUAAUGUUGAAAAAAGGGCUGCUAAAAGCCUACCUUCGCUCAACUGCAAGUUAUGUUAACAGCUAAUCAACUAUUUUUGAGAACAUAGACUUAACACUAAGAAAAAACAAAUUAUAAAUUAUAAAAAUUCAAUAUAAUUGAGACAUAAACCAUGAAUAAAAUAAGAGAAUUGUAGAAUUUUGUAUAUGUGAUUUACAAAGAGAAUAAUACUCUAUUUAUACUUCAAUAGGGUUACAAAUCGCAUUUUAAGCGAAAGAAUAAUCACAUACAAUCUUUAACAUUUAUUCAUAUGCUAUGGCUGAAGAUGCAAAUCAUUUCUCCCUUUUUUUACUAUGAGUUAAUCAUAUUCUAGUUUUUUAGUUUUCAAGAACUAUAAAAUAAACCCAGAAUUAUUUAGGGUAUAUAUUGGAGUUCAGUAAAUAACAUAACGUUAAUUGAGAACUAGUAAGACUCCAGAUAAGAGGCUUAAAGUCAGAAAUUUAAAAAUUGCAACCUGAAGAAUGAUAAUUCUAGUUCCACUUUUGACUUAAAUGGUGAACUAAAAGCUGAGGAAAAACGGGUAGAAAACAUUAGAUAAACAAUUAGAUGAUGAAGAUCUCUAUUUAUUAGCCUCGUUCUGAUCGAUUCUCUUUUGAGAUUUGAGUGUAGGGCAAAGAUGCUAGUACAGAUUUAGAGAGAGAUCCCAUUUACAGUACUUUUUCAAUUAUUUAAAUGAAAAUCG
rnacentral:lncRNA from 1 species